rnacentral:rRNA from 1 species
CAGAGGUCCCGAGCGUUGUUCGGAUUCACUGGGCGUAAAGGGUGCGUAGGUGGUGAGGUAAGUCGGAUGUGAAAUCUCCGGGCUCAACCCGGAAAUGGCAUUGGAAACUACCUUGCUGGAGGAUUUGAGGGGGGAUUGGAAUACUUGGUGUAGCAGUGAAAUGCGUAGAUAUCAAGUGGAACACCAGUGGCGAAGGCGAAUCCCUGGAAAAUACCUGACACUGAGGCACGAAAGCUAGGGGAGCAAACAGGAUUAGAUACCCUGGUAGUCCUAGCCCUAAACGGUGCUUGCUUGCUGUAAGAGGAAUCGACCCCUCUUGUGGCGGAGCUAACGCGUUAAGCAAGCCGCCUGGGAAGUACGGUCGCAAAGAUUA